AGACAUGUAACAGGUCCCCAAACCCUCCUAAGAGCCACAAACUCAGACUGAAGCAUGAACCAAAUGUUUUGUGAUUGAUGAAGGUCUGAUUAUGAAUGCUUCCUUUUCUUCCAGCGGCUCUUUACCUGUGGCCGUCUGUUCGUAUGGGGAUUGGGAUACUCUGUUUAAUCAUCAUGAUCAGCAUCACUGUCACUACCUGGAGAAAAGCUCGACAGAAACAGAAAAUGAUCUGUGAUCCUCCAUCACACAGAAACUAGUGCGAUAACCACUGAACCGUCAUCAGCGUUCAUCCUCAGACAGUCCCGCGGUGUCUGGUCGAAAGAGCUGGAGGACGUCCUGCACAGCUGAACAGAAUCUUUCUCUUUGUGCACAGUCUUGUGUUUUUUUUGUUUGCUUUUUGUCACCUGCUUUCAUUCAGCUGGUGUGAAAAAUGUAAUAUUGUUAAAAUUCACACAUUCAGAGGAUUCUGCAGACUCGGAUGUGCUUUCCAGUAUCUCACUGCUCACGAUGCUCUUAACUUAACCUUGCACUACACAGAAAGGUUUCGAUAUUGGCUCUGUAAAUAUUGAUUUUCUAAGAAAAUGUGUAGAAUUUUACAAUAAUUAUCAUUACAGGCUGUUUUCUGAAAUUGUGUUUUUCUACAUACGCUGAGUCCAAAAUCUCCACAGCAAUAGCACUUACAGACUUUCCAGUUGUCUUCCUGACUA